AGGAGCCAGAAACCAGCUGGGAAAGGUCUGGCUUCUUUUUGUCCCAGUGCAAUCUCUUACCAAGAAAGACGACUUCCUUUAAGGAGUGAUGUUUGCUCUGGUUCAAUGGGAAGAGGCAGGAACGCCAUGUCAGUGAAAUGGGGCAUUUAUUUUGUGCCAGCCGGGCUUCUGUCCACCCAAAACUUCAGCGCUGACUUGAUGAAGACAAACAUAGUGAUUGCAGAUCACUUUGGCCUGUGUUUGAGGAAAGAGCCACAGCAGCAAGAUGGAAGGUCCUGGCUUCCUCCUAUCAUGCUACAAAAUCCUGUAAGGCUACAUUACCAGGAGUAAAGCAGACAGCUAGGGGGAAGCUGCCGUGUAGCGCAAGGACUCAGCACCGGGCUCUGUGAUG
ensembl:lncRNA